UACGGGGGGGGCAAGCGUUGUUCGGAAUUACUGGGCGUAAAGGGCUCGUAGGCGGCCAACUAAGUCAGACGUGAAAUCCCUCGGCUUAACCGGGGAACUGCGUCUGAUACUGGAUGGCUUGAGAUUGGGAGAGGGAUGCGGAAUUCCAGGUGUAGCGGUGAAAUGCGUAGAUAUCAGGAGGAACACCCAUGGCGAAGGCAGCUAACUGGGCAUUAUCUGACGCUGAGGCGCGAAAGCGUGGGUAGCAAACAGG
rnacentral:rRNA from 1 species